rnacentral:rRNA from 1 species
AUGUUCGCCUCGUCUGUGGGGACGGAGGCGGCGGCGGUUGUCAGGAAGAUGGUGAACCUCAGCUCCCCUCCCCGGCGGCGCUGCAGCAGCAAGAUGGUGAAGGGACGCACCGGCCAGCGCGUGAGGCUCUACGUCCGCGGCACCAUCGUCGGAUACAAGAGAUCCAGGCAGAUCCAAGUGAACACUAGGGAGGACGUGGCCUGGUACGGCGGCAAGAGGAUGAUCUGCGUCUACAAGGCCAAGACCAAGCAACGACACCAACUACCACUACAUCUGGGGCAAGGUCUCCCUCUCCCACGGAAACACUGGCGUCAUCCGCGCGAAGUUCACCCCCGCUGA